rnacentral:tRNA from 1 species
ACCUCGCUGGCUCAGUUGGUAGAGCAUGGGAUUCUUGCUCUUGGUGUUGUGAGUUCGAGCCCCACACUGGGUA